rnacentral:rRNA from 1 species
AUUGAACGCUGGCGGCAUGCCUUACACAUGCAAGUCGAACGGCAGCAUAGGAGCUUGCUCCUGAUGGCGAGUGGCGAACGGGUGAGUAAUAUAUCGGAACGUGCCCUAGAGUGGGGGAUAACUAGUCGAAAGACUAGCUAAUACCGCAUACGAUCUACGGAUGAAAGUGGGGGAUCGCAAGACCUCAUGCUCCUGGAGCGGCCGAUAUCUGAUUAGCUAGUUGGUGGGGUAAAAGCCUACCAAGGCGACGAUCAGUAGCUGGUCUGAGAGGACGACCAGCCACACUGGGACUGAGACACGGCCCAGACUCCUACGGGAGGCAGCAGUGGGGAAUUUUGGACAAUGGGGGCAACCCUGAUCCAGCAAUGCCGCGUGAGUGAAGAAGGCCUUCGGGUUGUAAAGCUCUUUUGUCAGGGAAGAAACGGUUUUGGAUAAUACCCAGAGCUAAUGACGGUACCUGAAGAAUAAGCACCGGCUAACUACGUGCCAGCCGCCGCCGUAAUAC